rnacentral:tRNA from 1 species
AAAAAGAUAAGCUAUAUAAGCUUUUGGGCUCAUACCCCAACGAAAGUGAGAACACUUCUUUUUA